UACCCUUAACAUUCAGUGACAACCACAGAGAUGUGGCUUUCCUUUCGAGGACACUGGGAUAGGUGCUGCAUGGCUGUCGUCAGCUCGUGUCGUAAGAUGUUCGGUUAAGUCCGGUAACGAGCGCAACCCUUAUCCUUAGUUACCAGCAUUAAGUUGGGGACUCUGAGGAGACUGCCGGUGUUAAACCGGAGGAAGGCGGGGAUGACGUCAAGUCCUCAUGGCCCUUACGGGUAGGGCUACACACGUACUACAAUGGCAGGAACAAACCGUAGCGAAACCGCGAGGUGGAGCUAAUCGGUAAAACACUGUCUCAGUCCGGAUUGCAGUCUGCAACUCGACUGCAUGAAGCUGGAAUCGCUAGUAAUCGCUGAUCAGCAAGCAGCGGUGAAUACGUUCACCGGGACCU
rnacentral:rRNA from 1 species